GCAAAACCCUGAAAGACGGUGAGGGAGUAAGUCCUGUAGAUAUCUGGAGAAAAACAUUCCAGGCAGAGGAGAAAGGUCGUGCAGAGGUCCUGGUGCAGGAGCAGGUUGGAUCUGAUUGAAGGACAGUAAGGAGGCCAGUGGGGUUAAAGCAAUGGAAGGGGAGGAGCUGGAAAUGGAAAUCAGAGAGGCAGCCAGUCCCGGAAGGGAUCAUGGAGGUGCUUGAGGGCCACGUGAGGGCUUUACUCUGAGGGAAAUGAGGAGCUGCCGCAGGGAUUUGAGCUCCAAAGUGACAAGAUCUGGGCCACCCUUUCCUCGCUAAAGGGUGUAAUUGUAGAAAGUGAUGGCGGAGGAGGCUGCUGCUUGAGGCCAUGAGAUUUAAGAAAAAGCAUAAUACUGGUUCCAAACCACUAAAAUGACCUCAUGUCCCACCGACAGAUCACAGUUUGCAGUUUGGAAAACACUACUCCAAGGCAGAAAUUAUGGACAUCCCCAGAACAGGGACCCAAAUGCAGUGUCUACACCGGGAACCUCACUGGCAAAGCCACAAGAAGGAUGAGGAGGAAGGAGAGAAACAUCAAAGCACCUGAAGGAAUCACCUAGGGGGAAGUUUCCAGCCACUCCUUUCAGGACUGACGUGGCAUGAAAGGGCCAGGCUGACCAGGAGGCCCAUGUAGGACUAACAGAGAGCAGGAGAAGCUGAGG